UCGUUCGAUCACCCAAGUUAAGCAUCGUAGAGCCAGGUCAGUACUUAGAUGGGGGACCGCUUUGGGAACACCUGGUACUGUAAGC